GACGUAGGGCGCGAGCGUUGUCCGGAUUUAUUGGGCGUAAAGAGCUCGUAGGCGGUUUGUCGCGUCGUCCGUGAAAACUCACAGCUUAACUGUGAGCUUGCGGUCGAUACGGGCAGGCUAGAGUUCGGUAGGGGAGACUGGAAUUCCUGGUGUAGCGGUGAAAUGCGCAGAUAUCAGGAGGAACACCGGUGGCGAAGGCGGGUCUCUGGGCCACUACUGACGCUGAGAAGCGAAAGCAUGGGGAGCGAACAGG
rnacentral:rRNA from 1 species